rnacentral:rRNA from 2 species
CAGCUAACGCAUUAAGCACUCCGCCUGGGGAGUACGGUCGCAAGACUGAAACUCAAAGGAAUUGACGGGGGCCACAAGCGGUGGAGCAUGUGGUUUAAUUCGAAGCAACGCGAAGAACCUUACCAGGUCUUGACAUCCUCUGACAAUCCUAGAGAUAGGACGUCCCCUUCGGGGGCAGAGUGACAGGUGGUGCAUGGUUGUCGUCAGCUCGUGUCGUGAGAUGUUGGGUUAAGUCCCGCAACGAGCGCAACCCUUGAUCUUAGUUGCCAGCAUUCAGUUGGGCACUCUAAGGUGACUGCCGGUGCAAACCGGAGGAAGGUGGGGAUGACGUCAAAUCAUCAUGCCCCUUAUGACCUGGGCUACACACGUGCUACAAUGGACAGAACAAAGGGCAGCGAAACCGCGAGGUUAAGCCAAUCCCACAAAUUGUUCUCAGUUCGGAUCGCAGUCUGCAACUCGACUGCGUGAAGCUGGAUCGCUAGAAUCGGAUAG